GACGAACGCUGGCGGCGUGCUUAACACAUGCAAGUCGAGCGGUAAGGCCCUUUCGGGGGUACACGAGCGGCGAACGGGUGAGUAACACGUGGGUGACCUGCCCUCAGCUCUGGGAUAAGCCUGGGAAACCGGGUCUAAUACUGGAUAUGACUCCAUGACGCAUGUUGUGGGGUGGAAAGCCUUGUGCGGCUGAGGAUGGGCCCGCGGCCUAUCAGCUUGUUGGUGGGGUGANGGGCCUACCAAGGCGACGACGGGUAGCCGGCCUGAGAGGGCGACCGGCCACACUGGGACUGAGACACGGCCCAGACUCCUACGGGAGGCAGCAGUGGGGAAUAUUGGACAAUGGCGAAAGCCUGACGCAGCGACGCCGCGUG
rnacentral:rRNA from 1 species